GUCUGUGGCCAUACCACCCUGAACACGCCUGAUCUCCUCUGAUCUCGGAAGCUCAGUCAGCCCUGGUUAGUACUUGAAUGGGAGAAAAGGCAGCUGUGUUGGGGGAAGGCAGGCUGUUUCAUAUU
rnacentral:rRNA from 1 species